rnacentral:rRNA from 1 species
GACGAACGCUGGCGGCGUGCUUAACACAUGCGAGUCGAACGGCAAGGCACUGCUUUUGUGGGGUGCUCGAGUGGCGAACGGGUGAGUAACACGUGAGUAACCUGCCCUUGUCUUUGGGAUAACUUCAGGAAACUGGGGCUACUACCGGAUAGGAGCUCCUGCUGCAUGGUAGGGGUUGGAAAGUUUCGGCGGUUGGGGAUGGACUCGCGGCUUAUGAGCUUGUUGGUGGGGUAGUGGCUUACCAAGGCUUUGACGGGUAGCCGGCCUGAGAGGGGGACCGGCGACAUUGGGACUGAGGUACGGCCCAGACUCCUACGGGAGGCAGCAGUGGGGAAUAUGGCACAAUGAGCGGAAGCCUGAUGCAGCAACGCCGCGUGCGGGAUGCCGGCCUUCGGGGUGUAAACCGCUUUCGCCUGUGACGAAGCGGGAGUGACGGUAAUGGGUAAAGAAGCACCGGCUAACUACGUG